AUUGAACGCUGGCGGCAUGCCUUACACAUGCAAGUCGAACGGCAGCACGGGUGCUUGCACCUGGUGGCGAGUGGCGAACGGGUGAGUAAUACAUCGGAACGUACCUUAUCGUGGGGGAUAACGCAGCGAAAGCUGUGCUAAUACCGCAUACGCCCUGAGGGGGAAAGCGGGGGAUCGCAAGACCUCGCGCGAUUAGAGCGGCCGAUGCCUGAUUAGCUAGUUGGUGGGGUAAAAGCCCACCAAGGCGACGAUCAGUAGCUGGUCUGAGAGGACGAUCAGCCACACAGGGGCUGAGACAAGGCCCAGACUCCUACGGGAGGCAGCAGUGGUGAAUUUUCGCCAAUGGGGGCAACCCUGAUCCAGCAAUGCCGCGUGAGUGAAGAAGGCCUUCGGGUUGUAAAGCUCUUUUGUCAGGGAAGAAACACCGGCUCUAACACAGUCCGGGAAUGACGGUACCUGAAGAAUAAGCACCGGCUAACUACGUGCCAGCCGCCGCAGUAA
rnacentral:rRNA from 1 species